AGUCGAACGGACGAUGAAGAGCUUGCUUUUCAAGUUAGUGGCGGACGGGUGAGUAACGCGUGGGUAACCUGCCUCAUACAGGGGGAUAGCAGCUGGAAGCGGCUGAUAAAACCGCAUAAGCGCACAGCAUCGCAUGAUGCAGUGUGAAAAACUCCGGUGGUAUGAGAUGGACCCGCGUCUGAUUAGCUGGUUGGUGAGGUAACGGCCCACCAAGGCGACGAUCAGUAGCCGGCCUGAGAGGGUGACCGGCCACAUUGGGACUGAGACACGGCCCAAACUCCUACGGGAGGCAGCAGUGGGGAAUAUUGCACAAUGGGGGAAACCCUGAUGCAGCGACGCCGCGUGAAGGAAGAAGUAUCUCGGUAUGUAAACUUCUAUCAGCAGGGAAGAUAAUGACGGUACCUGACUAAGAAGCCCCGGCUAACUACGUGCCAGCAGCCGCGGUAAUACGUAGGGGGCAAGCGUUAUCCGGAUUUACUGGGUGUAAAGGGAGCGUAGGCGGCGGAGCAAGUCAGAAGUGAAAGCCCGGGGCUCAACCCCGGGACGGCUUUUGAAACUGCCCUGCUUGAUUUCAGGAGAGGUAAGCGGAAUUCCUAGUGUAGCGGUGAAAUGCGUAGAUAUUAGGAGGAACACCAGUGGCGAAGGCGGCUUACUGGACUGACAAUGACGCUGAGGCUCGAAAGCGUGGGGAGCAAACAGGAUUAGAUACCCUGGUAGUCCACGCCGUANACGAUGAAUACUANGUGUCGGGGCUCAUAAGAGCUUCGGUGCCGCAGCAAACGCAAUAAGUA
rnacentral:rRNA from 1 species